UUACGGGAGGCAGCAGUGGGGAAUAUUGGUCAAUGGACGAAAGUCUGAACCAGCCAUGCCGCGUGAAGGAUUAAGGCCCUCUGGGUUGUAAACUUCUUUUAUAUGGGACGAAAAAAGGGAAUUCUUUCUCACUUGACGGUACCAUAGGAAUAAGCACCGGCUAACUCCGUGCCAGCAGCCGCGGUAAUACGGAGGGUGCAAGCGUUAUCCGGAUUUACUGGGUUUAAAGGGAGCGUAGGUGGGCAGGUAAGUCAGUGGUGAAAUCACUGGGCUUAACCCGGAAACUGCCAUUGAUACUAUUUGUCUUGAAUUAUCUGGAGGUAAGCGGAAUAUGUCAUGUAGCGGUGAAAUGCUUAGAUAUGACAUAGAACACCCAUUGCGAAGGCAGCUUACUACGGAUAUAUUGACACUGAGGCUCGAAAGCGUGGGGAUCAAACAGGAUUAGAUACCCCGGUAGUCCC
rnacentral:rRNA from 1 species